rnacentral:rRNA from 1 species
CCUACGUGAGGCUGCAGUGGGGAAUAUUGCACAAUGGGCGAAAGCCUGAUGCAGCGACGUCGCGUGAGUGAAGAAGUAUUUCUGUAUGUAAAGCUUUUUCAGCAGGGAAGAAAAUGACGGUACCUGACUAAGAAGCCAUGUCUAAUUUCGUGCCAGCAGCCGCGGUAAAACGUCGGGGGCAAGCGUUAUCUGGAUUUACUGGGCGUAAAGGGGGCGUAGGUGGCAUGGUUAGCCAGAAGUGAAAACUCAGGGGCCAACUCGGUGGAUUGCUUUUGGACCUAGCAAGCUAGAGUGUUGGUGGGGUAAGCGGAAUUCCUGGUGUAGCGGUGAAAUGCGUAGAUAUUAGGAGGAACACCGGUGGCGAAGGCGGCCUGCUGGACGAUAACUGACGGUGAGGCGCGAAAGCGUGGGGAGCAAACAGGAUUAGAUACCCUGGUAGUC